rnacentral:rRNA from 1 species
GACAGAGGUUGCAAACGUUGUUCGGAAUUACUGGGCAUAAAGAGCACGUAGGCGGUCCGCUAAGUCAGACGUGAAAUCCCCCGGCUUAACCUGGGAACUGCGUCUGAUACUGGAAGGCUUGAGUAUGGGAGAGGGAUGUAGAAUUCCAGGUGUAGCGGUGAAAUGCGUAGAUAUCUGGAGGAAUACCGGUGGCGAAGGCGGCAUCCUGGACCAUUACUGACGCUGAGGCGCGAAAGCUAGGGGAGCAAACGGG